GGCCGGUCCAAGUGCAGUGGUGUUUACAACUAAUUGAUCACAACCAGUUACAGAUUUCUUUGUUCCUUCUCCACUCCCACUGCUUCACUUGACUAGCCUUAA
ensembl:Y_RNA Y_RNA Y RNA